AUUGAACGCUGGCGGCAGGCCUAACACAUGCAAGUCGAACGAGUGGCGGACGGGUGAGUAAUGUCUGGGAAACUGCCCGAUGGAGGGGGAUCACUACUGGAAACGGUAGCUAAUACCGCAUACCAUCGGAUGUGCCCAGAUGGGAUUAGCUAGUAGGUGGGGUAACGGCUCACCGAGGCGACGAUCGCUAGCUGGUCUGAGAGGAUGACCAGCCACACGGGAACGGAGACAGGGUCCAGCCUCCUACGGGAGGCAGCAGUGGGGAAUAUUGCACAAGGGGCGCAAGCCUGAUGCGGACCUGCCGCGUGUAUGAAGAAGGCCUUCGGGUGGUAAAGUACUUUCAGCGAGGAGGCGUUACUCGCAGAAGAAGCACCGGCUAACUCCGUGCCAGCAGCCGCGGUAAUUC
rnacentral:rRNA from 1 species